UUAACGGAAAAAGCUUUAUGCGCCGAAGGAUGAGCCUGCACUUGAUUAGUUUGUUGGUAGGGUAAUGGCCUACCAAGACUUUGAUCUAUAGCUGAUCUGAGAGGAUGAUCAGCCACAUUGGGACUGAGACACGGCCCAAACUCCUACGGGAGGCAGCAGUAGGGAAUAUUGCACAAUGGAGGAAACUCUGAUGCAGCGAUGCCGCGUGAGUGAAGAAGGCCUUUGGGUUGUAAAGCUCUUUCGUCGGGGAAGAAAAUGACUGUACCCGAAUAAGAAGGUCCGGCUAACUUCGUGCCAGCAGCCGCGGUAAUACGAAGGGACCUAGCGUAGUUCGGAAUUACUGGGCUUAAAGAGUUCGUAGGUGGUUAAAAAAGUUGGUGGUGAAAUCCCAGAGCUUAACUCUGGAACUGCCAUCAAAACUUUUUAGCUAGAGUAUGAUAGAGGAAAGCAGAAUUUCUAGUGUAGAGGUGAAAUUCGUAGAUAUUAGAAAGAAUACCAAUUGCGAAGGCAGCUUUCUGGAUCAUUACUGACGCUGAGGAACGAAAGCAUGGGUAGCGAAGAGGAUUAGAUACCCUCGUAGUCCAUGCCGUAAACGAUGUGUGUUAGACGUUGGAAAUUUAUUUUCAGUGUCGCAGCGAAAGCAUUAAACACACCGCCUGGGGGAGUACGACCGCAAGGUUAAAACUCAAAUGAAUUUGACGGGGACCCGCACAAGUAGUGGGAGCAUGUGGUUUAAUUCGAAGAUACGCGCAGAACCUUUACCAACACUUGACAUGUUCG
rnacentral:rRNA from 1 species